ACUGGCCUCUAUCGAAGACUCAUCAGUCAUUUUUUCCCAUUGGCUCCUGAGAUCAAAAAGAGGCCGACAUCAAAUCUUUCUCUUAAGGUCGCUGGACAGGAUUUCUUCACCCGGUUCCAGCAUUACCCAGUGAAAGAACAAAC